GAUGAACGCUAGCGAUAGGCUUAACACAUGCAAGUCGAGGGGCAGCAUUAUUUUAGCUUGCUAAGAUAGAUGGCGACCGGCGCACGGGUGCGUAACGCGUAUGCAACCUGCCUGUAAUUAGGGAAUAACCCGGUGAAAGUCGGACUAAUACCCUAUAUUCUUCUUUUUCCGCAUGGAGGAGGACGGAAAGAUUUAUUGAUUACAGAUGGGCAUGCGUCCCAUUAGCUGGUUGGUAAGGUAACGGCUUACCAAGGCAACGAUGGGUAGGGGGACUGAGAGGUUGACCCCCCACACUGGUACUGAGACACGGACCAGACUCCUACGGGAGGCAGCAGUGAGGAAUAUUGGUCAAUGGGCGAGAGCCUGAACCAGCCAAGUCGCGUGAAGGACGACGGUUCUAUGGAUUGUAAACUUCUUUUGUAGAGGACAUAAUGGCAGCUCACGUGUAGCUGACAUGCAUGUACUCCUACGAAUAAGUAUCGGCUAACUCCGUGCCAGCAGCCGCGGUAAUACGGAGGAUACGAGCGUUAUCCGGAAUUAUUGGGUUUAAAGGGUGCGUAGGUGGCGUAUUAAGUCAGUGGUGAAAAGCUGCAGCUCAACUGUAGUCUUGCCGUUGAAACUGAUAUGCUAGAGAGGAGACGAGGUAUGCGGAAUGUGUGGUGUAGCGGUGAAAUGCAUAGAUAUCACACAGAACGCCGAUUGCGAAGGCAGCGUACCAGGCUCCGUCUGACACUGAAGCACGAAAGCGUGGGGAUCAAGCAGGAUUAGAUACCCUGGUAGUCCACGCAGUAAACGAUGAAUACUAGAUUUUUGCGAUAUAGUGUAAGAGUCUAAGCGAAAGCGAUAAGUAUUCCACCUGGGGAGUACGCCGGCAACGGUGAAACUCAAAGGAAUUGACGGGGGCCCGCACAAGCGGACGAGCAUGUGGUCUAACUCGAUGAUACGCGAGGAAACCUUACCCGGGGAUCGAGAUUCUAGAUGGCGGCAGAUGAGAGUUAGCUUUACCUUCGGGACAUCUAAGUACGUGCUGCAUGGUUGUCGUCAGCUCGUGCGUGAGGUGUCGGCAUUAAGUGCCAUAACGAGCGCAUCCUGCGUCGAUAG
rnacentral:rRNA from 1 species